rnacentral:rRNA from 1 species
CCUACGGGAGGCAGCAGUGGGGAAUAUUGGGCAAUGGAGGAAACUCUGACCCAGCAACGCCGCGUGAAUGAUGAAGGUCUUCGGAUUGUAAAGUUCUUUUCUAAGGGAAGAAGAAAGUGACGGUACCUUAGGAAUAAGCCUCGGCUAACUACGUGCCAGCAGCCGCGGUAAUACGUAGGAGGCGAGCGUUAUCCGGAAGGACUGGGCGUAAAGGGGGCGGAGGUGGUUUGGCAAGUUAGUAGCGUAACUCCAAGGCUCAACCUUGGAACUACUACUGAAACUGUUGGACGUGAGUGCAGGAGGGGCAACCGGAAUUCCUGGUGUAGCGGUGGAAUGCGUAGAUAUUAGGAGGAACACCAGUGGCGAAGGCGGGUUGCUAGACUGUAACUGACACUGAGGCACGAAAGCGUGGGGAGCAAACAGGAUUAGAUACCCCAGUAGUC